rfam:Candidate division WOR-1 bacterium RIFOXYC2_FTLL_41_25 rifoxyc2_full_scaffold_299, whole genome shotgun sequence.
GGGGUUGUAAGGGUUUUGACGGGAAGAUGCUGGGGCAAUGAUCGCGAGCCGAGGACGCUAACCUCUCCUCGUUAAUCUCUUGUUAGCAAAUUUUUAAAUGCAGAUUCUUUAGAAUCGCUACGUGCAAGAGUUGACUGGUCUUUCGGCGAGAAAAUCGUUGAAGCCAUGUUUCCUCAAGCCGUACCUGCUCUUUCUUAAUUUAAGAGCACGUUAGCCGUUUUCGUUGGUAGGAACGGGUUCUAACGUUAUUAUGCUAACUACUCACUUGCUCUUUGCUGUUUGGGUAGGUGGGAAAACUAUACAUCGGCUAGUUUAAGGGCUGCCACGCCUCGGGCCAUCCCUUAGAUGAAUAAUUAGCAGGGGCUACGCUCGUAGUGAUUUUUGCAGCGGCCUUUUCGGACAGGGGUUCGACUCCCCUCAACUCCACUU